rnacentral:lncRNA from 1 species
GUGAAUUUCCUCUACAAUUAACUUUCUGGUACAUUCAACACCUUUGUGAAAUGUUUCUAAACUGAAUAGGAAAAAAUUUCCAAGAAUAAAACAAAGUUGUAGGAUUGUCAAACCUCUACUUUCUAGUCCUGCAGUAGUGGAAGGUUAUGGCAGUUACCAACCAUGAAGUGCCUAGGUAGCUGGAGAAACACAAUUCUUGAAUUUUAGUUUUAUUUCAAUGCUCAUCAUCUGUAUUUACUGUUGCAACUUUAGAUACAAAACAAAUGAAAUGUUUACCUUCUCAAAAUACAUGUAGAAAUCCUCCCAAAUAAAGCAACUAUUGUAAAUGCAUACACAAGAUGAAGGCAUUGACUGAGGCUGUUUAUCUAACGAACACAUCUUAAGCUUGAGAUUUAUUAGAAUUUCUUCGUGUUGAGCAUGCAAAGGUUUUAACUACCAUUUAAAGUACUUACGCUAUUGUAAAUACAC